CCACGCCGUAAACGAUGUCGAUUUGGAGGCUGUGUCCUNGAGACGUGGCUUCCGGAGCUAACGCGUUAAAUCGACCGCCUGGGGAGUACGGCCGCAAGGUUAAAACUCAAAUGAAUUGACGGGGGCCCGCACAAGCGGUGGAGCAUGUGGUUUAAUUCGAUGCAACGCGAAGAACCUUACCUACUCUUGACAUCCACGGAACUUGCCAGAGAUGGCUUGGUGCCUUCGGGAACCGUGAGACAGGUGCUGCAUGGCUGUCGUCAGCUCGUGUUGUGAAAUGUUGGGUUAAGUCCCGCAACGAGCGCAACCCUUAUCCUUUGUUGCCAGCACUUCGGGUGGGAACUCAAAGGAGACUGCCGGUGAUAAACCGGAGGAAGGUGGGGAUGACGUCAAGUCAUCAUGGCCCUUACGAGUAGGGCUACACACGUGCUACAAUGGCGUAUACAAAGAGAAGCAAACUCGCGAGAGCCAGCGGACCUCAUAAAGUACGUCGUAGUCCGGAUUGGAGUCUGCAACUCGACUCCAUGAAGUCGGAAUCGCUAGUAAUCGUAGAUCAGAAUGCUACGGUGAAUACGUUCCCGGGCCUUGUACACACCGCCCGUCACACCAUGGGAGUGGGUUGCAAAAGAAGUAGGUAGCUUAACCUUCGGGAGGGCGCUUACCACUUUGUGAUUCAUGACUGGGGUG
rnacentral:rRNA from 1 species